rnacentral:rRNA from 1 species
GACGUAGGGGGCGAGCGUUAUUCGGAAUUAUUGGGCGUAAAGCGCUCGUAGGCGGGAUUGCAAGUCCGACGUGAAAUCCCUCGGCUCAACCGGGGAACUGCGUCUGAUACUGGAUGGCUUGAAUUCGGGAGAGGGAUGCGGAAUUCCAGGUGUAGCGGUGAAAUGCGUAGAUAUCUGGAGGAACACCGAUGGCGAAGGCAGCUGCCUGGCCCAGAACUGACGCUGAGGUGCGAAAGCGUGGGGAGCGAACGGG